UACGAAGGGGGCUAGCGUUGCUCGGAAUCACUGGGCGUAAAGGGCGCGUAGGCGGCCAUUCAAGUCGGGGGUGAAAGCCCAGGGCUCAACCCUGGAAUUGCCUUCGAUACUGUUUGGCUAGAGACCGGAAGAGGUUAGUGGAACUGCGAGUGUAGAGGUGAAAUUCGUAGAUAUUCGGAAGAACACCAGUGGCGAAGGCGACUCGCUGGACAAGUAUUGACGCUGAGGUACGAAAGCGUGGGGAGCAAACAGG
rnacentral:rRNA from 1 species